UUUAAAAGCCUCAGGCUUCUCAUCAACCACCCCUCGACCACAACUUUAUAGGUGUAAAUUAAAACAAAUUAUGGGAACUCGGAGAGCUUCAAAAUUAGGAUUUGUUAGUGCCUUUCCAUGGCCCAGAUUUAGCCUGUAAACUUUCCGAAUCCAUGUGUGCGCUUCCAGGUGAAAUGCCUCUAGAUUCUCAGUGUUGAACCAUUAUUUAUUGGAAGGAUCUGGAAAGCACUGCCUGCUGUUAAGAGUCUUUUCUGCCAGAGCUUUCUGUGCCUUCCUUGGCUUCCUGUUUUUAAGAACCACUUGUAUAUACAAUUCGAAUCAAGUGACUUCUCCAAAGGUUCAUCUGUUUUUCGUGUUUUACGGUCCAUGGCUUGCUCAGGUGUAAAUUAUGUAUCUUCUCGGCAGUGUUAUCACUCUUGACCUAAGUGUCAGGGUGCUGCUCCGCCAGUGCCAGAUCUGUCUCCUUGUAAAAAGUUUUUCUAUGAUCGGAAAAUGCCUCUGCCUCUCAGUAGUUGAAGGAAUUGUGCUCUUGUAAGCUAGAAAAGUAGCUUGACUUGUAACUCAUAUUUCUACUCUAUGGUUUGCCAUACUUUAUUGGACAGAAGAGGGGUACAGUAUGUAUUUGGUGAUAAUUCUUCAGUUUUAGUCUAAAGCUCCUUGGUUUUGUUUUCAACAGCAUCCGACAUUUUAUGUACUUGUAUAUUGUGUGUAUUUAUGAUCUAUUCUUGUGUUCCCUCUAGAUUUUUUUUUUCUCUCCCACAUCUUCCUUUCCUUUUUCCCCAUUAACAAACCAGUGUCCUUAGCAAUGAGGACUGUUUAACAGAAACCACGGAUUAGAAAAGUUAUCUUAGAUUUAAGAAAUAACCCACUGACCAUUUAUUAUUACUUUAAAUCGUACUUCAGUCAUGUCUGGGUAGAGUGUAGGAUUUUCACAGAGAAAUUCCUGCCUGCCAGUACUGAUAGUCCAGCUGGGAAAUGGGCAGCCUGACCCAAGGGUAAGACUUGAGAUUGUGUAGACUUCUCAGGUGAUGAAGAGAAAAGCCGCACUCUUCCUCCUCCUGGAAUGGCACUGGACUGACACCUUAGUCUGCCCCAGGUUCUUUGAAUUUCCACAUGAAUUUAGCACAGCUUGGCAGUUCCUACCUAAAACGAACCCUGCGGGGAUUUUGUCUGUGGUUGCAUCAAAUUUAUUGAUCAUUUGGGGAGAACUGACAUGUUAACAAUGAUGCUUCCAACCCAGGAACAUCUUUCCACUUCUUUGUUUUUCUCUCAGCAGUGUUUUGUAGUUUUCAGUGGACAAGUCUUUCGUGUCUUUUGUCAGAUUUAUCACUGUUGCGUGUUUUUUAUUAUAAAUUGCUUUGCUCUUUAAGUUACAAUUUCUGAUUGUUUGUUGCUAAUAUAUUCAAAUACAAUGGAUUUUGUGUAUUUAUAUUGUA